UCUGAAGGUAUAGCUGAAGCAUCAGCUCUGAUAUUCUUUCUGAGAAUGGUGUCUACAUACUCUAAAGUAUAGUAUGUACUUUGAAUCAAAUAACUUUAUAUAGUUCUGUGACCCCAAGAGGAAGAAUAUGAGUCCAAGAACCAAAUGGUACAAGCAGGACCAGGGCUACCUAUCCUCAUUUCCAAUAAUCCACUUGACGAAUUUGUUUUUCUCAUACCCACAGCCCUAGGUUCAACAGCAUUAAGAAUUCAUGGUCUCUAAAGAGAGGAUACUUCUUUCAGAGAAUUAAGAAAGAGCCCCGUUCAUUUAUAAAUUAUGGCUGCUCUCUGAGCACUUGGACAGGAACCAGCAGUAAGAAGUCAGCCUAGCACUGACCAGCACUGAACCCUGACUCCUGGGAGAAAGUAGGGCUACUAUGACACAAUAGAAGCAGAGAGGAAUAUAUUCGAUCUCAGACUAAGGAACACCUUGCUAUUCCCCUGCCCUAUUGUGAUGUUAAAUGGACAAGUGCAGCUAUCACAGUCUGAGAAGCUGCGAUGAUCACAGUCUCAGACCCCCCUCAGGGAUGUGAUCUUGAUACCUACACCUGAGAAACCAGUAAGGCCAGUAAAGGUAUUGACUGAAGUGAGGAGAAAUCUAGGAAGGAUGGUGGAGGAGGUAGACUACGGCAAUUUGUGACGCCCAAGUUAGCUACAAUGGAACUAUAGUUUGGCCAGUCAUCUUCUCUUACAUUUGUCUCAGGAAGAGAGAUCCAACCAGAUGCCUAGUGGACUUCUUCCUACACAUAAGAAAUGAAUCCAGGCAGUGCUGACAUGGAUAUACAACAUUGGGAUGGACAUGGAUAUAUAACAUUGGGAUGGACAUGGAUAUAUAACAACAUUCACAUGGCCUUCAAGAAAGGAUGUGCUGCUCAGUUUCAAGAAGGUUGUCAGCAGACAGUCUUCAGGUAUCAGCUACUUCAGGCACUGCUUCAUCUGAAGAGAGUCAGCUUACUUAUGGACAUGUCCUUUCCGAGGGGGUCCAUGUCCAAUGACUGACAAAGAUGUGACUUGGAAGAGGAAAGCUAAUUAGUGGCUGCGAUUCACUGAAGGACGCUGGGAUUAAAAGUAAUCUGAUUCUCUGAGAAGACUAUCAUUUCCAAGACAUGAGCCCUGGAUUUAGAAUAAAAGGACCUGCUUUUUGUACUGAUUCCACUUAUUAUU